CCACCUGCCAAAUAAAAAUGCAAUUCAAUAUAUACAUCCCUCAUGCAACACACAUUAUUAUAAUAAUCAUACAACACACUACAUCAACAAAUCAUUCAAGCAAUUCAAAUCAACAACACUUAAACAAUGAAUCCAACAACAUUCAAAAUACUUAAAACAAUCCUAAAGAUUUUUCACUAAUUAAAAGCUAAGUUCAAAAUAUCUAAAAAUUAUCUAAAAGUCAAGUCCAACAACACUAACGAGCCCCAACAAACUUUUCAUCACUAUCUGUUUCCUCUUCGCUACUUGAAUCAGGAGCAACGGCCUGUGCUAAGGCCCGUCUAAGAUGUGCAAUCUGAUGUGACAUAGUAGCAUGUUUCUCAAAAAUUGUAGAAAUGACCUGAUCGUGCUUUGUCAACCAACAACACAUNNNN
rnacentral:lncRNA from 1 species